CCUACGGGUGGCAGCAGUGAGGAAUAUUGGUCAAUGGGCGGGAGCCUGAACCAGCCAAGUCGCGUGAGGGAAGACGGUCCUAUGGAUUGUAAACCUCUUUAGGCGGGGAGCAAUGCCGGGCACGUGUGCCCGGAGGGAGAGUACCCGCAGAAUAAGCAUCGGCUAACUCCGUGCCAGCAGCCGCGGUAAUACGGAGGAUGCGAGCGUUAUCCGGAUUUAUUGGGUUUAAAGGGUGCGUAGGCGGAUUUUUAAGUCAGCGGUAAAAUGUCCGGGCUCAACCCGGGCCUUGCAGCGCGAACUGGCGUGCUUGAGUCCGCGGAAGCAGGCGGAAUUCGUCGUGUAGCGGUGAAAUGCUUAGAUAUGACGAAGAACCCCGAUUGCGAAGGCAGCUUGCUGCAGCGGAACUGACGCUGAUGCUCGAAAGCGCGGGUAUCGAACAGGAUUAGAUACCCCAGUAGUC
rnacentral:rRNA from 1 species